rnacentral:rRNA from 1 species
UACAGAGGGUGCGAGCGUUGUUCGGAAUUAUUGGGCGUAAAGGGCGCGUAGGCGGUGCGGUAAGUCACCUGUGAAAUCUCCUGGCUCAACUGGGAGCUUGCAGGCGAAACUGCCGUGCUGGAGUGUGGGAGAGGUGAGUGGAAUUCCUGGUGUAGCGGUGAAAUGCGUAGAUAUCAGGAGGAACACCUGCGGUGUAGACGGCUUACUGGACGGUAACUGACGCUGAGGCACGAAAGCGUGGGGAGCAAACAGG